rfam:Schistosoma margrebowiei strain Zambia genome assembly, scaffold: SMRZ_scaffold0003126
GCACUGCUGAGGAGUCCCAUACUAGGACGAAACGGCCGUCUAGUAC